UUUUUAAUUUCCAAAGAAUAUCAGUUGACUUUUACAGCUUCUUCAGUGCUCCCCAAGCUUCAUGCCACACCUAAAUGCUCAUCUUCGCUGCCUGAAGGUCCUUUCUGACCUGAACGAUUCUAUGACUUUGGUCCCUACUUCAGCUUAAGGGAGAAGCUGCACGUUGAUUGGGUUUUGGAGAAAAAGAUUUGAACGUCCAGCUGUGAAUUGAUCUUGUGUUUUGUCUUCCAGGUUCAUUCCCAUUGUGAUCUGCAAAUGGCAAAUCAGGGUUGCUCUUCGUUAAAACCAAAAGCGCUCUCAGAAUGUUGAUGGAGGUGAUGAUUGCAGGGGCGAUGCUUCUGGAGAAUAGCUCCCCCAUCUUCCCCAGGGCCUGGGCAGAGAGAGGUGGAGCUCGGAGUCCCCCCAGUCCUCCCGCGGGUGCUGGCGUCUGCAGCGCCAUCGGGACGGGAUCCACGGCGCAGCUCCCUCCUCCAGAGGCCGAAGGCUCAGCCUCCAGUUUCGUGCAGGGUGAUCACCUUUCCAGGGCAAUACAAGCACUUCCCAAGAGCAGCUGGUGAGGAUGGCGCAGAAGCAAGGACAAGGGUGCAGUGAAAAGUUUGGUGCAUCGAUCCAGCUUCCGGACAUGGUAGGGAAGACACACCGUUUGAUAAAACACCAAACACGGUACUUUUCAUUCUUUGUGUUUUUCUGUGCCCCCAUUGUGAUCACCCCUGGAAGUAUUAUUUUCGAAAAACAUAUCUAGGAGAGAAAUCGUAACCUGCUUUGCGUCCUUCUGCCUGGAAGGGUUGUGACACAGGGAAGUGAGGAAGGGGCUGGCCGGGGUCAGCCUCUGCUGAGCCUCAGCUCUGGCUGCUGCUCCUGCUUCCCGGGUACAGCCAAAAGCUGUCAUGAUCAAAAGAGCAGGCAGCCCUUCUGUCCUGAGUCACAGGGGCCAUUUCUUCCUGAGUGACUCAAGAUGGGAAAUCAUUCUUGGAGCUUCAAAAGAAAAAAAAAAAAAAAAACCUCACGCAAUCAUUUCUAAGUGUGUAUAUAUACACAUAGAUUUCCUUCAAUGAAGAAGAAAAUCUUAGAAAUAUCAUGUCACGUCUGGCUUCCUAGAGAACAUCCUUAUCUCUGGGCUUCUGAAAUCAAAUGUCUGUGCAUUUAUAGAGCAUUUCCCCUCUUUUUAUGUGCCUCCCACAGUGAUCUUCUACCCUGCCCCACGGCAAGAAGAGUUUGGUGAUUUUGCUGCUCUGCUCUCUCAAGGGUGUUGCAGGCUGCGUAGCAGGGAGUGAAGCCCUUGUCGCUGCUCAUCAGACACUUUCCUACAGAAUUCUCCCUGCAGUGAUAAAAUUAGACUGGUGUUAGUGAGCUGCCAAGUAGAGCAGGACAGCACGAAGACUGAACGUGUAAGAAGAUGUGGGGUGCAAUGGAGAACCUGGCAGGAGCAUCCGACGCACACGUGCACGAGUUUUGCUUUUUGCUUGGAUUGAAACUCAAAAGUUGUAAGGAAUUUGGGAAUGAGAUGGGACGUUUCAGAAGAAGAGGAAGGAGGAGAAGAAGUUGUUGUUACAGUCCUGGCAAAAUCCUUUGUUCUAGCUAAUAAAAGAAGUUA